rnacentral:rRNA from 1 species
UACGGAGGAUCCGAGCGUUAUCCGGAUUUAUUGGGUUUAAAGGGUGCGUAGGCGGCCUUGUAAGUCAGGGGUGAAAGACGGUAGCUUAACUAUCGCAGUGCCUUUGAUACUGCAGGGCUUGAAUGUACUUGAGGUAGGCGGAAUGUGACAAGUAGCCGUGAAAUGCAUAGAUAUGUCACAGAACACCAAUUGCGAAGGCAGCUUACUAAAGUAUGAUUGACGCUGAGGCACGAAAGCGUGGGGAUCAAACAGG